rnacentral:rRNA from 1 species
CACGGAAUUAGCCAGUCCUUAUUCAUGCGGUACCUGCAAACAUCCACACGUGGACACCUUUAUCCCCGCAUAAAAGAGGUUUACAACCCAUAGGGCAGUCUUCCCUCACGCUACUUGGCUGGUUCAGCCUUACGGCCAUUGACCAAUAUUCCUCACUGCUGCCUCCCGUAGGAGUCUGGACCGUGUCUCAGUUCCAGUGUGGGGGACCUUCCUCUCAGAACCCCUACCGAUCGAUGCCUUGGUGGGCCGUUACCCGCCAACAAGCUAAUCGGACGCAUCCCCAUCCUUUACCGAUAAUCUUUGCUCCGACACAGAUGGUCCGGGACGGAGAACAGUGGGGAUUAAUCCGCCUUUCGGACGGCUCGGACCCCAGGUAAGGGAAGGUUGGAUACGUCGUUACUCGACCCGUGCCGCCGGUCGCC